rnacentral:rRNA from 1 species
GACGAACGCUGGCGGCGUGCUUAACACAUGCAAGUCGAACGGUAAGGCCCUUCGGGGUACACGAGUGGCGAACGGGUGAGUAACACGUGGGUGAUCUGCCCUGCACUUCGGGAUAGGCCUGGGAAACUGGGUCUAAUACCGGAUAGGACCACUGCCUGCAUGGGGGGUGGUGGAAAGCUUUUGCGGUGUGGGAUGGGCCCGCGGCCUAUCAGCUUGUUGGUGGGGUGAUGGCCUACCAAGGCGACGACGGGUAGCCGGCCUGAGAGGGUGACCGGCCACACUGGGACUGAGAUACGGCCCAGACUCCUACGGGAGGCAGCAGUGGGGAAUAUUGCACAAUGGGCGCAAGCCUGAUGCAGCGACGCCGCGUGAGGGAUGACGGCCUUCGGGUUGUAAACCUCUUUCAGCACCGACGAAGCGCAAGUGACGGUAGGUGCAGAAGAAGGACCAGCCAACUACGUGCCAGCCGCCGCGGUAA